UACGUAGGGGGCGAGCGUUGUCCGAAGUUACUGGGCGUAAAGCGCGCGUAGGCGGUCCUCUAAGUCUGUUGUGAAAUCUCCCGGCUUAACUGGGAGGGUGCGGCGGAGACUGGAGUGCUAGAGUGUGGGAGAGGUAAGCGGAAUUCCUGGUGUAGCGGUGAAAUGCGUAGAUAUCAGGAGGAACACCUGUGGUGUAGACAGCUUACUGGACCACGACUGACGCUGAGACACGAAAGCGUGGGUAGCAAACAGG
rnacentral:rRNA from 1 species